rnacentral:rRNA from 2 species
GGGUUGUGAGGUUAAGCGACUAAGCGUACACGGUGGAUGCCCUGGCAGUCAGAGGCGAUGAAGGACGUGCUAAUCUGCGAUAAGCGCCGGUAAGGUGAUAUGAACCGUUAUAACCGGCGAUUUCCGAAUGGGGAAACCCAGUGUGAUUCGUCACACUAUCAUUAACUGAAUCCAUAGGUUAA